UCUCCGUAGGUGAACCUGCGGAGGGAUCAUUACUGAGUGAGGGUUUAACCGCCCGACCUCCAACCCUUUGUGAAUCGUACUCGUUGCUUCGGGGGCGACCCUGCCGUCCGCGGCUGAGCGCCCCCGGGGUCAAUCAAACACUGCAUCUUUGCGUCGGAGUCUUAAUGAAUUUAAACAAAACUUUUAACAACGGAUCUCUUGGUUCUGGCAUCGAUGAAGAACGCAGC
rnacentral:misc_RNA from 1 species